rnacentral:rRNA from 1 species
AUUGAACGCUGGCGGCAGGCCUAACACAUGCAAGUCGAACGAGUGGCGGACGGGUGAGUAAUGUCUGGGAAACUGCCUGAUGGAGGGGGAUAACUACUGGAAACGGUAGCUAAUACCGCAUACCAUCGGAUGUGCCCAGAUGGGAUUAGCUAGUAGGUGGGGUAAAGGCUCACCUAGGCGACGAUCCCUAGCUGGUCUGAGAGGAUGACCAGCCACACUGGAACUGAGACACGGUCCAGACUCCUACGGGAGGCAGCAGUGGGGAAUAUUGCACAAUGGGGGAAACCCUGAUGCAGCCAUCCCGCGUGUAUGAAGAAGGCCUUCGGGUUGUAAAGUACUUUUAGCAGAGAGGCGUUAUCCGCAGAAGAAGCACCGGCUAACUCCGUGCCAGCAGCCGCGGUAAUUC